rnacentral:lncRNA from 1 species
UCUCAUGUUUGGUACAAAAUUUUUAUUGGGUAACUAACACAAAAUACUCCAAAGACUCGAUAAACAGUAUUGAAAUCGGUAUCUUAAAUGAAAAUUGGGAGGAACCACUGAUUAGCCCAUCUGACAAUGUAUCAGACGAAAUAUGAGCUACUCUAGAAAACAUAGGUCACUCUUAUGAAGAGAGAACCUUCUGAACCUCAGCAGUUACAUCUUUCGGGGGUUUCUCUGCGUGAAGCUGUGCAAGAACACCUUUCUUCGCAUAAUAAUCAAUAACCUGCGUAACAAAAAGAUAUUUUAAAAUUUGUUAAAUCAAAAUUCAUAGAAUGGCCUAAUCUAAAGAAUUUGUACUACUAAAUCUUUAUGGUCGAUAAAAUAUCCAAAGACUUGACAAGCUCAAGCAUUUACCCUAAAUGCAAUUAUUGCUUCCGCCUGGUACGGUACAAGUAGAAGCAUAUAGACCUUGGGGAAGCCAUUUCAAAUUUAUGACACUCAAAGAAUUAAGAAGAGAAUUGGAAACAGGAAUUGGAUUUCAAUGCCACCAAAGUCUAAAUUACAAAGUAGAGAAGCUUGUAUUGAUAUAUACUAAUACCAGCAUAAUAUUGAAGGUUAAAGUUUUCUGCAUUUACCAGGGGUAAAGCAUUUCAAUAUAUGCACAAAGGCCACCGAAAAACCCUCUAAGCGACAGUUUGAGUGACACAUAUAUACACAUAAAAUAUAAAUAAAUAGAUGCUGAUCUUUUUCCAAGCAUGAAGCCUUAAAAAUUGAUUUGUGAUAAGAAUAAAGAAAGAGAAUUUUCAUUGCCUAAAAAUGUAAAUAAAGAAAGAAAAACAUAAGCAUAUAAGAAAGGGGGAAAGCCUACAGGUUCAGUUUGCUUGUGAAAUGCAUCCAGCCUUGACUUCAGAACUUCUGGGGUGUCAUCUUUUCGUUGAAUCAGAGGCUCCCCAGUAACCUGUUUUGCCACAGGAAAAACAAAGGGCGAAAAUAUGUUAGGAUUGAUGAUAAUUAUGUCGUCCCGAGUGAUAAGAAAUCUUCAAUGUUGACCAAACUAAGUUAUACCUGUACAGUAUGCAAAAGAUGUGGAACCGCUGGAAGAACUUGUCGCCUGCCAUUGAAGACGCGAACAGCAUUGUUAUAAACCACGAGCAAGCAAUUAAAAUUCAGCCAAAACAAAACUGAAAAUAAAAUUUAAAUAUACUAAAAACACCUUCCUAGUAAUUGUUUUCCAAGGUCCAUCAAUUCAGCCACAGUCUUGUUACCAUCGCGGACAAACUCCAAAAUCUACAAAGAAAGCUCAAAUUAAAGACAAUCUUCAAAAGAAAAAGAUAUAAAAAAAAGUAAGAACAGAAAAAACAACCUGAGUAGCAAUAAGAGCUACAGCUUCAGUAUAAUUGAGUGUGAGGCCACGAGCGAGACGCUUCUGAGCAAGAAAACCAGCGUUGUGGAGUCCUAACUUGUCAACUUCUCUCGGUGUCAGCUUCAUGUUUCAAAUCUCUGCGAUUCGAUAUCGAACAUGGAGAGGAAUCGAAGAGAAUCGCAUCAAAUGCAGAGUUGAAAAGCGGUGGAAACAAAUUGCAGAUGGAGAGUUCAAAGCUGAAAUGAGAGAGCAUUUAGAAAGUAUACUGUAGAGCAGGAGAAACUGAACGAGUAGCACUGAAAAAAGAAGUAUAACAGUGAUCACGAUGAUUAAUUAAUUCAUGUUGGGCUAGACUUGGGCUUUUAAAGGGAUGUGCAACCCGCCCAAAGCGUUCAAGCCCAAACCCGACGCGGAAUCCCUUUCAAGCCAGUGUAUUUUCGUAAUCCCACAUCGCAAAAUAAGAAAUGAGAAGUCGACAAACGCUCUAUAAAAACUUGAUGAAAUGGCACAGAAAAAGCACGCAGCCGCGCGGUGAGCACAAAGCGAACUAUUCUUUCGCCUUUUACUAAAGAAUACCGUGUGCUCGCCGCAGAUAGCGGCAUACGCCAAUUUUUGGAGGGUUCCUUCCUGUGGAAGUGGGCCCACACCAAUUAUAGUUAAACUAUUUUCUUGUGUUCCCAAUUCUUAAGGGUAUAUGAAUAUAACUGUCCUUUCGUUGGGUGUCUGAACCAAUUCUAAUCGAACUAUUUUUUAUCUGUUCCUGCCUCUGGUGGGUACAUGCCCAACUCUGUUCUCCAAUUUGUCCAUCGUUCAUUUUACAAAGCUACUAAUAUAUAGUCCUUAGCAUCUUUGUCUAUUUUGAUUUAUUUUUUAUCUCAUUAGCAAAAUCAAAUCAAACAAUAAGAAAGCCAGCCAGACAUAGAGCCACAGUGAUUUAACCAAAGCAACAAAUUUUUAGCAUUACAGCAAAUUCUCAUGUUUGGUACAAAAUUUUUAUUGGGUAACUAACACAAAAUACUCCAAAGACUCGAUAAACAGUAUUGAAAUCGGUAUCUUAAAUGAAAAUUGGGAGGAACCACUGAUUAGCCCAUCUGACAAUGUAUCAGACGAAAUAUGAGCUACUCUAGAAAACAUAGGUCACUCUUAUGAAGAGAGAACCUUCUGAACCUCAGCAGUUACAUCUUUCGGGGGUUUCUCUGCGUGAAGCUGUGCAAGAACACCUUUCUUCGCAUAAUAAUCAAUAACCUGCGUAACAAAAAGAUAUUUUAAAAUUUGUUAAAUCAAAAUUCAUAGAAUGGCCUAAUCUAAAGAAUUUGUACUACUAAAUCUUUAUGGUCGAUAAAAUAUCCAAAGACUUGACAAGCUCAAGCAUUUACCCUAAAUGCAAUUAUUGCUUCCGCCUGGUACGGUACAAGUAGAAGCAUAUAGACCUUGGGGAAGCCAUUUCAAAUUUAUGACACUCAAAGAAUUAAGAAGAGAAUUGGAAACAGGAAUUGGAUUUCAAUGCCACCAAAGUCUAAAUUACAAAGUAGAGAAGCUUGUAUUGAUAUAUACUAAUACCAGCAUAAUAUUGAAGGUUAAAGUUUUCUGCAUUUACCAGGGGUAAAGCAUUUCAAUAUAUGCACAAAGGCCACCGAAAAAACCUCUAAGCUUCAGUUUGAGUGACACAUAUAUACACAUAAAAUAUAAAUAAAUAGAUGCUGAUCUUUUUCCAAGCAUGAAGCCUUAAAAAUUGAUUUGUGAUAAGAAUAAAGAAAGAGAAUUUUCAUUGCCUAAAAAUGUAAAUAAAGAAAGAAAAAC